GGAAAUAGCUCAGUGGUAAAGCACAUGCUUAGCAUGCAUGAGGUCCUGGGUUCAAUCCCCAGUACCUCCA
rnacentral:tRNA from 1 species